CUGCUCUUAAAGUCUCUUGGGGUCAUAUGGGACUUGGUUGUUCUCCAUACUGCAUCAUACACUAUAUUAUUUUUCUGUUUUAUAUUAGGACAGACAACAG